UGGGGAAUUUUGGACAAUGGGCGAAAGCCUGAUCCAGCAAUGCCGCGUGUGUGAAGAAGGCCUUCGGGUUGUAAAGCACUUUUGUCCGGAAAGAAAUCCUUGGCUCUAAUACAGUCGGGGGAUGACGGUACCGGAAGAAUAAGCACCGGCUAACUACGUGCCAGCAGCCGCGGUAAUACGUAGGGGGCAAGCGUUGUCCGGAGUAACUGGGCGUAAAGGGCGCGUAGGCGGAAUAAUAAGUCAGUUGUGAAAGAUAUGGGCUCAACUCAUAGAACGCAUCUGAAACUGUUAAAUCUGGAGUAUAGGAGAGGGAAACGGAAUUCCUGGUGUAGCGGUGAAAUGCGUAGAGAUCAGGAAGAACAUCAGUGGCGAAGGCGGUUUCCUGGCCUAAAACUGACGCUGAAGCGCGAAAGCAUGGGUAGCGAACAGGAUUAGAUACCCUGGUAGUCCAUGCCGUAAACGAUGGAUACUAGGUGUGGGUAUCGCAAGAUAUCCGUGCCGCAGUUAACGCAAUAAGUAUCCCGCCUGGGGAGUACGGCCGCAAGGUUGAAACUUAAAUGAAUUGACGGGGUCAUAGCUGUUUCCU
rnacentral:rRNA from 1 species